rnacentral:rRNA from 1 species
UAUGUGAUCGUCUCUCGCAUAUCAAUAAGCGGAGGAAAAGAAACUAACAAGGAUUCCCCUAGUAACGGCGAGUGAAGCGGGAAGAGCUCAAAUUUGAAAUCUUAAAGGGUUUCCCUUUACGAAUUGUAGUUUAAAGAAGUGUUUUCUGUUGAGGUUUUGGUAAAAGUUCUUUGGAAUAGGACAUCAUAGAGGGUGAGAAUCCCGUAUUUGACCUUUACUUUCAACUUUGUGAUACACUUUCAAAGAGUCGGAUUGUUUGGGAAUGCAGUCCAAAAUGGGUGGUAAAUUUCAUCUAAAGCUAAAUAUUGGCGAGAGACCGAUAGCGAACAAGUACCGUGAGGGAAAGAUGAAAAGAGCUUUGAAAAGAGAGUUAAACAGUACGUGAAAUUGUCAAAAGGGAAGCGUUUGACACCAGUGUUGUUUUUCUGAAAAUCAAUUAAAGAACUGUUUAUGCUAAGUUGUUUAGACUUUAUCAGCUAUCUGCUUAGUUUUGAGCUUUUCUUUAAUGCACUUUUCAGUUAACAAGUCAACAUCAAUUUCUUUUGCUGUAAAAAAGCUUGAGGAAGGUGGCUUGAGAUUCGUCUUAAGUGUUUAUAGCCUCUUGCCUAUGCAGUCGGAGAGAUUGAGGUCUGCAGCGUAGAUCCUUCGGGGCUAAAUGCAUUUGUGCUAAGUUAUAGCAUUUUAUAGACAACUUGUUGACUAUGAUUUGUCUUGUAGCUUACUCGCUUAUGUUAUUUUACCUACGCUUAGGAUGUUGAGUAGCGACAUACGCAC